CCAAUGACCAAAGUGGUAAAAUCCCAAAUUUCUACCUGAGGGCACCGCAGCUCGUCCAGCAAACAAAUCGUGUCGGCGCGCUGGGAGGAAGGGAGACGGGCGACGCGGCUGGGAAACCGGUGCGACGGGGGAGGAGGACCGCAGCGAGCACACCAGAGGGACGUGGAGGACUGCUUCCUGGCUGCGGCCAUCGGUCAACUCGGGCAGCAGCGUCGCCACGGACCAUAGGUGGGUCUUGCACCUGCUCCACGUGAUUGGAGACCAUGGAGACCGUGGAUGCAACGUCGGAAGCUUGGGUGUCUCAGCUGAUUCGGAGUCCUUAUCUCAGAACGCCCCCAAUAUGUUCGACAAAAUGCCAAACACAAACUGCACUCAAAUGAAAGAUUAUUUGGUUCGCAAAGUGGAAUCGCAGGGAUUCAGGACACCUCUAUCGACAGCUACUACUGUACUGCAGUUGUGUUGGCCCCGUGCUCUAUAAGUUCCAUCCUCUACAGUAUAAGCAACAUCCAACGUUGUCAUCUUGAGGAAUAAAGAAAUGCCUAGCCUUGCAUGGAUAUAGCACUGAAAUUUAUUUUCUCUGCAAAUAUUGGUGAAUGUGUCAAGUAAAGAACAAACAAUUCCUAACAGUUGCUAUUAUUUGUUCCAUUGAUGACAUGUAUCACAUCUUAAUAUUAUUUCAUAAAUGGAUGGCCAGAACAUGUUUGCAAGUAUUUAUAGGGUAAUUACUGUGCUCUCUAAGUUUCAAUGUAUGUAAUUCAUGGCAGAAAUAAAAACUCAUGUGAUUAUUAUACAAAUGUCAUCACCUAAAUUCUUUCCCUCUAAUGGAUUUUUCUUUUAUAUUAUCGGCUACAAGCACAAGCAUGGUCCUUUUAAGAACUAUAUAUUCUUGAUUUUAUAGGUACAUAAGAAACAUUAUUAAGAAAUUUC